AGCAGUCAUUUUUGUACAGGGCGUUGUGUGCUGGAUGCUGAGACACACAGUGCACAGCUGUGCUGACCUUCUGCAGGCUUUCGGCACAGUGGCAGAAGCAGGCACGGCACAAACAAACACUCUGAUGGCUAUUUAGUGUCUGUUCUAUGACGUGCUGUCCCAGCAAGCUCUUCUAUGAUUCUUCCAGAAGUGAAGAAGAUACACUAAUUAUGAAGAUCACGCUGCCUCAAGGAUUAUGGGAGCUUAUUCUGAGACUGGAUCAAAAGAGUGUGCCAUCUACAUGUGUACCCUUGACGUGAGAUCAGCCAUCCUUACUGGAAAAGGUCAUCCUUGUCAGCCACAUGCACAGCUUCAGCAGGAAUACACCAAGAGUGGGGAGGAAAGAAGGGGACACCUGCCUAGCCAGCCAGAUCAACUAGAUCGACCCUGGUGCUAAAUGAGGUAACAGACGUCACAGCCAGAACAUCCCCACAACCCUCCAAGUUUACGAGAUGUCCGAGGAUCAUUGUUCUUCAUAAUUUAUGGAUGUCUCUGGAUUACAGGACCUACCCGUGACACCUGCCCCAGAGCUGCAUUUCUGAGAAUGGAAAAGAAACCAACAAUUGUCACGGAGAAGAACAGUCCAAGUCUAUGUGUUUCCAAAGAUACAUUGUUCUCAGAUAAACACAAGCAUACAUAAAUAAAAAGAUGUUUUAAACUUUUUGAAAGAGCUUUUCCUGAAGAUGCAGAGACCUGGAGAGGAGUCUUUGUCAUAGCAUCGCUUGUUGCUGUCUUCCCAGGAUUUCCUGCAUUGGAAAACGAGAUGUUUAUUAUCUCAGGAAUCUCAGAGUCCCAGGAGACUGUGACUCCUGAGUCAGCGUGAGCUGCUGAUAGUAGAAGGUGCAAGCAAGAGAAACGUGUUCUCACCGUCUGGAAGAUGGGAGUCCAAGGUCAAGAUGCCAGGAUGAGCAGUUUCCCAAGAACACCUCCCCCGCCCCCUGCUUGUAGAUAGCUGCCUUACCUCUUGGUCCUCACAGUGAGGCUUCUAAGGAGACAAGAAUGGGAUGCUUGUUUUCAUGGACUAGAAAUGAAUCACGCCUGUUCUUUCAGAAUUAUAGGCUCAGGAAAGAAGUGACAGGAAGAAAAUGUUCUGUGGUGGAGACUUCCGAGUGGAGAGCUGGCUUCAGAAAAGAUGGGUUGAGCAUAGCGGGGUUCCUGACAGACAACAGACCUGCCAGGAUCAUUUGUACCGGGACACUGUUUCCAAACUAUUUCUUUAGUGCUCUGUCCCAUUCUAGGGUCUUCAGAAAAGGCUAAUGGCCAAAGAGAAGGAAGGAAGGACAGCACCAUAUUUAUCUCCAUGAGGGGUUUCUGAAGUCUCUCAGGGCUGCAGGCAGGAGCUCCAAAGGUAAAGCCGUCAAUUUCCAUGGAGAUGGAAUGUAUUACUCAGAGAAAAGAGGUACCAAAUAUUAUUCAGUUUGG